rnacentral:lncRNA from 1 species
UGGAAACGAGGCUCACUACAGCAGAGCAAGCUAGGACCUAGUCAUGAGCCGGUUUUCUGGGAAUGUUCCCUAGCACAUUGGGAUCCGUUGUUUAAUCUGGCAAGCGAACAAUCUUUGGCAGUUCUUCCCCUUCUCUCAUGCCCUCCCCAUCCCCCCUAAAAAACAGUAGACAUGUGCCAUUUUUAGGACAGAGAGAUAAUACCUUCAGCCCAGAAAUGCUGGCUUCUAGUAGUAAACAUAAACCACAUGAAGCCAAGCCACAUGUUCCUGCCUGUGUCUGCCCCUGCACCACCCAAUAACACAUGACUGACUGUUAAUUACAUGUUUGAAAUGCUACAUGCAGAUGGGAUCCUCUGUCGCCAUAUCAGUAAACUUAAUGUAGCUUAUUGAGGCCAGACCCAGUGUGGUUGGCUCAAGAGAGUCCAUCCCUGCAGCAGUCAGACCACAAGUCCUGCUGGGGGAUGUCUGCACAGACUCGGAGGCCUGACUGACGCCCUGGGCCUAAGUCCUGGCCUCACCCCUUACUGGUGCGUAAUCUUGGGCAAGUUGCUCAACCAUUUUUCUUUUUGGCUUCAGGAUCUCCCUCUGUAAAACGAGAAUAAGUGUACUACCCAUUUUGUCCAAUUGUGGUGAGAAUAAGACAGUUUAUUUCAAGAGUAUUCCAUAGCACAUGGCACUAGUAACUACUCAGUAAAUGUUAGCCAUUGCCAACAAAACAAUAAUGAAUGGGAAAGCUCAGGCGGAAAACCCAUUUUUCCCCCCUUUUCCCAGGCCUUUACAUGUCUGGCAAGGGUGUGGCAUUUCCAUUUGAAAGUUUGUGCUCUUGUUUGGAUCAGAGAUCAGAUGCAGGGGAGAAAACGUUGCUGCAGAAAGGCCCCCUCAGCUCCAAGUGCCUUCAGUUUUAUUCCUUUUGAUUGCAGAAGCCAAAUCAGCCUCAGCAUCAUUAGUGUUUUUUGGCCCUAUUUAUAGUUGUUCUCUCUCGCUUCUGAGCUCCUCAUAGACAGGUACAGAAGAGAGUAGUCCAGUUUUGUUUAACAGACAUACAAGCUGGUACCUCCUCCGUACCAGGCCCCACACUUGGAGCUGGACAGGUAGUGAUGAGUCAGCGAUGAAUCCCUAUGUCCCCACCCCAAGUUUUCCAAACUUGGGAAAACUUGGCCUCUAAGAAGUUAUACGGCCAGGCGCAGUGGCUCACGCCUGUAAUCCCAACAGUUUGGGAGGCUGAGGCAGGCGGAUCACU